rnacentral:sRNA from 1 species
UCGAUUUAUUGGUGUUCUUUAUGUAUGAUGUAUUAAUCCUCCUGUUCUUUAGUUGAUUAGGUUAUUGUGUCUUUUUGUAAUUUUUAUUUGUAUUUAGCACAUAUGGGCAAACACUAUUUGGAUGUGUCUGAUACCACUUGUGUUCUCUGAUCAUUUCUGAUCUUUGACCUUGCUGUCACCUCUGACCCACGACUGUCCUCCGGUCUUCACUCUCCAGAGCUUUCUGGCUUCUGACUCCCCUGACCUCCUUGGCUUGGCCUCCCCCCAGGUUUGUGAAUGGGGCAGGUUACUUUGCUGCUGUGGCAGAUGCCAUCCUUCGAGCUCAAGAGGAGAUUUUCAUCACAGACUGGUGGUUGAGUCCUGAGGUUUACCUGAAGCGUCCGGCCCAUUCAGAUGACUGGAGACUGGACAUUAUGCUCAAGAGGAAGGCGGAGGAGGGUGUCCGCGUGUCUAUUCUGCUGUUUAAAGAAGUGGAAUUGGCCUUGGGCAUCAACAGUGGCUAUAGCAAGAGGGCGCUGAUGCUGCUGCACCCCAACAUAAAGGUGAUGCGUCACCCAGACCAAGUGACGUUGUGGGCCCAUCAUGAGAAGCUCCUGGUGGUGGACCAAGUGGUAGCAUUCCUGGGGGGACUGGACCUUGCCUAUGGCC